CCUUAAUUUUAUUAUUGCAUGAAAAAGGUAUCUUAAUCCAACAUCGAGGUCACAAACUUUCUUGAUGAUAAGGACUCUUUAAGAAAAUUAUGCUGUUAUCCCUAUAGUAACUUAUUCCUUUUUAAAAAUUUUUUGAUUUUUCAAGAAUUGUAUCCAUAUUACUAAAAUAAAAUUUUUUUUUAUUUACUGCCCCAGUAAAAUAAUUUUUAGUUUAUAUUGAUAUUAAAUUAUAAUUAUAAAGCUUAAUAGGGUCUUCUUGUCUUUAAUAUAGAUUUUAGCUUUUUUACUAAAAUAUAAAAUUUGAAAUAUAAUAAUAAGACAGGAGUAUUUAGUAAA
rnacentral:rRNA from 1 species